rnacentral:rRNA from 1 species
CAUAAUCAUUAGUUUUUUAAUUGAAAACUUGUAUGAAUGGUUGGACAAAGGAAUCCCUGUCUAUUAACUAAAUAUUGAACUUAACUUUUAAGUGAAAAGGCUUAAAUUUCUUAAGGGGACGAUAAGACCCUAUAAAGCUUUAUAAUAAAGUACUAAUUUUUAAAAUAUCUAAAAUAAAAGAAAUUAUUAUUUCCUUAUUUUGUUGGGGCGAUUCAGAUAAAAAUAUAAUUAACUGUCAAAGUAAAAUACAUAUAUUUAUGAAAUUAAUGAUCCUUAAUUUAAGAUUAAAAGAUAAAGUUACUUUAGGGAUAACAGCGUUAUUUCUUUUAAGAGUCCAUAUUGAAAAAGAAGUUUGCGACCUCGAUGUUGAAUUAAAAUAUCUUCACAGUGCAGCCGUUGUGAUCA